rnacentral:rRNA from 1 species
AGCGAACGCUGGCGGCAGGCCUAACACAUGCAAGUCGAACGAACUCUUCGGAGUUAGUGGCGGACGGGUGAGUAACACGUGGGAACGUGCCUUAGGGUCGGGAAAAACUAAGGGAAACUUGGGUUAAAACCGGAGGGGCCCUCGGGGGGAAAGGUUUAUCGCCUUUAGAGCGGCCCGCGUCUGAUUAGCUAGUUGGUGAGGUAAAGGCUCACCAAGGCGACGAUCAGUAGCUGGUCUGAGAGGAUGAUCAGCCACAUUGGGACUGAGACACGGCCCAAACUCCUACGGGAGGCAGCAGUGGGGAAUCUUGCGCAAUGGGCGAAAGCCUGACGCAGCCAUGCCGCGUGAAUGAUGAAGGUCUUAGGAUUGUAAAAUUCUUUCACCGGGGACGAUAAUGACGGUACCCGGAGAAGAAGCCCCGGCUAACUUCGUG